ACGUAUUCUAUACAGCCAGCUAUAAGUAAUGUGAGCAAGCACGUCGUAGCAGACGGUUUUGCUUGUUUAAUAUUCAAAUUUUUAAUAUUGCUUCGUUUAUUCUGAAAAUUUACGAAAUUUAUUUAUAAUAACAAAAUGGCUGAUAAAAUAAACAAAGAAGGAGAAAACUUGAAAGGUUUUUCAAAAUAUUUUAAUAGUGUGACGAUACAAGGACGAGCCAAUGUAGCUAAAACAACGUACGCUCUUGUAGCUCUAAUUUCAGCUUACUAUUAUCUCAAACCAAAGAAAGAAGUGGCAAAAUAAAAAAAUGAAGACAAAUAAUCAUCUUACAUAAUGAUUUUGUCCAUAAAUUAGGUGUGCUAUUUACUUAAUAAAAAUGUAGUAAACAAUUUA